ACUUUUUCUUUAUCUUCUCUAUAAAACUAAAUGUUUACUAAUUAUUUUUUCUGUAUAUGCUUCCAACUUCAUCAAAACUUUUUUUUUGUGUGUAUGAUUCCGACUGUAUCAAAACUUUCAUAACACUAGUUUUAUCACAAACAAAAACUUCCCAGCAAGUAUUAAAGAAUUUCAGAUAAUUUAGAAGACACUACUUCAGAUCACAAUUCCAGUGAAUUGGAUAGGGAUGGAAACAAUGAUGUUACACAACAUGGAGAUUUUCUGGUGAUUUACUUCAGCCCGCCAAUCCAGUAAAUGGGAAAAACUACGAAGUUUGUAAUGAUCGUCAUGGUGCACAAAGUAUUACUGCAUGGUUGUAUCUCCAUCAGGAUUUCAUUAUAAUACUCGGUGUGUUCCUUCAAUACUUGGGGGGAAUCCUUUUACUUAUGUUCUGAGCUACAGAGGGUACACUUUUCAUGAAGGUCGCAUCUAUUACAUUCUUGACCCAUAUCUAUUCUAAUUAUCCGAUAUCAAUGAUGAUAUUUAUCCCUUGCAAUCCGGCAAAGGAUAACCGCUCAGCUAGAGAUGGAAGGUGUUAGAGCAUAGCUCGGUUGAACUCAUCCAAAGUCGCUUGAUUAAAUAUUAGGGUCAACUUCGUUUAGGUUAGAUUAGAAAGUCUAGGAAUGUUGAGACAUACAAGUAUUACUUCGAAGACAUGAAGAAUGUGAACAAGUAGCGAACUACAACGACGACAUCAUCCUUCCACUUGAGGUUCGUAAUAUUGACUUGAACUGUUUCAUUCCUAACGUAUCUUUCAAGUCGUACUAUAUUGAAAACAUAACUGCGAAGCUGUAUAUACUGUACAUAUUGUAUAAUAAUC